rnacentral:tRNA from 1 species
GAAUUUAUGGCUUAGUGGUCAGAGCAUCUGGAUAAUAUCCAGAAGGCUUGGGUUCGAGUCCCGCUACAUCUA